rnacentral:rRNA from 1 species
UGCGAAGGCAGCUUUCUGGAUCAUUACUGACACUGAGGAACGAAAGCAUGGGUAGCGAAGAGGAUUAGAUACCCUCGUAGUCCAUGCCGUAAACGAUGUGUGUUAGACGUUGGAAAUUUAUUUUCAGUGUCGCAGGGAAACCGAUAAACACACCGCCUGGGGAGUACGACCGCAAGGUUAAAACUCAAAUGAAUUGACGGGGACCCGCACAAGUAGUGGAGCAUGUGGUUUAAUUCGAAGAUACGCGCAGAACCUUACCAACACUUGACAUGUUCGUCGCGACUCUAAGAGAUUAGAGUUUUCGGUUCGGCCGGACGAAACACAGGUGCUGCAUGGCUGUCGUCAGCUCGUGUCGUGAGAUGUUGGGUUAAGUCCCGCAACGAGCGCAACCCUCACUUUUAGUUGCCAUCAUUAAGUUGGGCACUCUGAAAGAACUGCCAGUGAUAAGCUGGAGGAAGGUGGGGAUGACGUCAAGUCCUCAUGGCCCUUACGUGUUGGGCUACACACGUGCUACAAUGGCAUCUACAACAGGAAGCAAAACGGCAACGUUAAGCAAAUCCCGAAAAGAUGCCUCAGUUCGGAUUGCACUCUGCAACUCGAGUGCAUGAAGCUGGAAUUACUAGUAAUCGUGGAUCAGCGUGCCACGGUGAAUGCGUUCCCGGGUCUUGUACACACCGCCCGUCACACCAUGGGAGUUGGUUCUACCUUAAGGCAAGGUUUUAAACCCUUGACCACGGUAUAGUCAGCGACUGGGGUGAAGUCGUAACAAGGUAGCCGUA